AGAACGAACGCUGGCGGCAUGCCUAAUACAUGCAAGUCGAACGAACACUUCGAUGUUAGUGGCGCACGGGUGCGUAACGCGUGGGAAUCUGCCCUUGGGUCCGGAAUAACAGUUGGAAACGACUGCUAAUACCGGAUGAUAUCGAAAGAUCAAAGAUUUAUCGCCCAGGGAUGAGCCCGCGUAGGAUUAGCUAGUUGGUGAGGUAAAGGCUCACCAAGGCGACGAUCCUUAGCUGGUCUGAGAGGAUGAUCAGCCACACUGGGACUGAGACACGGCCCAGACUCCUACGGGAGCAGCAGUAGGGAAUAUUGGACAAUGGGCGCAAGCCUGAUCCAGCAAUGCCGCGUGAGUGAUGAAGGCCGUUAGGGUUGUAAAGCUCUUUUACCCGAGAUGAUAAUGGCAAGUAUACGGGAGAAAUAACGACCCCGGCUAACCUCCCGUGCCCAGACAGCCGGAC
rnacentral:rRNA from 1 species